rnacentral:rRNA from 1 species
GUGGGGAAUAUUGGUCAAUGGACGAGAGUCUGAACCAGCCAAGUCGCGUGAAGGAAGACGGUUCUAUGAAUUGUAAACUUCUUUUGUGCAGGAAUAAAGUGGGUUACGUGUAACCUUUUGUAUGUACUGUACGAAUAAGGAUCGGCUAACUCCGUGCCAGCAGCCGCGGUAAUACGGAGGAUCCGAGCGUUAUCCGGAUUUAUUGGGUUUAAAGGGUGCGUAGGUGGAUUGAUAAGUCAGCGGUGAAAGUUUGCAGCUUAACUGUAAAAUUGCCGUUGAAACUGUCGGUCUUGAGUGCAAAUGAGGUAGGCGGAAUGUGUUGUGUAGCGGUGAAAUGCUUAGAUAUAACACAGAACUCCGAUUGCGAAGGCAGCUUACUGGGAUGCAACUGACACUGAUGCACGAAAGCGUGGGUAUCAAACAGGAUUAGAAACCCGGGUAGUCC